AGAGUUUGAUCCUGGCUCAGGACGAACGCUGGCGGCGCGCCUAACACAUGCAAGUCGAACGGAGCUGAGAGGAGCUUGCUUUUCUCAGCUUAGUGGCGAACGGGUGAGUAACGCGUGAGUAACCUGCCCCGGAGUGGGGGACAACAGUUGGAAACGACUGCUAAUACCGCAUAAGCCCACGGCCCGGCAUCGGGCUGCGGGAAAAGGAUUUAUUCGCUUCAGGAUGGACUCGCGUCCAAUUAGCUAGUUGGUGAGGUAACGGCCCACCAAGGCGACGAUUGGUAGCCGGACUGAGAGGUUGAACGGCCACAUUGGGACUGAGACACGGCCCAGACUCCUACGGGAGGCAGCAGUGGGGGAUAUUGCACAAUGGGGGAAACCCUGAUGCAGCGACGCCGCGUGGAGGAAGAAGGUUUUCGGAUUGUAAACUCCUGUCGUUAGGGACGAUAAUGACGGUACCUAACAAGAAAGCACCGGCUAACUACGUGCCAGCAGCCGCGGUAAAACGUAGGGUGCAAGCGUUGUCCGGAAUUACUGGGUGUAAAGGGAGCGCAGGCGGACCGGCAAGUUGGAAGUGAAAACUAUGGGCUCAACCCAUAAAUUGCUUUCAAAACUGCUGGCCUUGAGUAGUGCAGAGGUAGGUGGAAUUCCCGGUGUAGCGGUGGAAUGCGUAGAUAUCGGGAGGAACACCAGUGGCGAAGGCGACCUACUGGGCACCAACUGACGCUGAGGCUCGAAAGCAUGGGUAGCAAACAGGAUUAGAUACCCUGGUAGUCCAUGCCGUAAACGAUGAUUACUAGGUGUUGGAGGAUUGACCCCUUCAGUGCCGCAGUUAACACAAUAAGUAAUCCACCUGGGGAGUACGACCGCAAGGUUGAAACUCAAAGGAAUUGACGGGGGCCCGCACAAGCAGUGGAGUAUGUGGUUUAAUUCGAAGCAACGCGAAGAACCUUACCAAAUCUUGACAUCCCUCUGACCGGUCUUUAAUCGGACCUUCUCUUCGGAGCAGAGGUGACAGGUGGUGCAUGGUUGUCGCCAGCUCGUGUCGUGAGAUGUUGGGUUAAGUCCCGCAACGAGCGCAACCCCUAUCCUCAGUAGCCAGCAUUUAAGGUGGGCACUCUGGGGAGACUGCCAGGGAUAACCUGGAGGAAGGCGGGGAUGACGUCAAAUCAUCAUGCCCCUUAUGAUUUGGGCUACACACGUGCUACAAUGGCGUAAACAAAGGGAAGCGAGAUCGUGAGAUGGAGCAAAUCCCAAAAAUAACGUCCCAGUUCGGACUGUAGUCUGCAACCCGACUACACGAAGCUGGAAUCGCUAGUAAUCGCGGAUCAGAAUGCCGCGGUGAAUACGUUCCCGGGUCUUGCACACACCGCCCGUCA
rnacentral:rRNA from 1 species